GGGGGAAGUGCCGCGACUAUAAAGAAAGCAUUGUCAGCAGGUAGCCUUUGAGGCUGCAACACGAUCGAAUUGCGGGAACGUCCUAAAGCUCCAUGGUACCAACUCGAUGAGGGAAACCUUUCGAGGGCCUGCGUUAACAACGCGGGGUAAGGUUAUAACCUGUGGAGAUUUUGCAAUGGACCAUUCGCAGCGAAGCCCCUACUGGCGGAAAGCCUAUGGGGAUCGUUCACAGACUAAGUGGUCGUGGGUUACGGGCCGUUAAGCCUGUGCCUAAGAUAUAGUCGGGCUGUCGAGGAGACUCGAUAGGGUGUUUCGCACCAAACCGUUCCGUAGGUGAACCUGCGGAAGGAUCAUUACAGAGUUCAUGCCCUCACGGGUAGACCUCCCACCCUUGUGUAUCUAUACAUUGUUGCUUUGGCGAGCUGCCUUGGCCUUAACUGCCCCAAGGCCUCAAGCUUUCGAGCCUGAGAGUCGCCCGCCGGAGGAAAAAUAAACCCUGAUAAUUAAUGUCGUCUGAGUACUAUAUAAUAGUUAAAACUUUCAACAACGGAUCUCUUGGUUCUGGCAUCGAUGAAGAACGCAGCGAAAUGCGAUAAGUAAUGUGAAUUGCAGAAUUCAGUGAAUCAUCGAAUCUUUGAACGCACAUUGCGCCCCUUGGCAUUCCGGGGGGCAUGCCUGUUCGAGCGUCAUUUCAACCCUCAAGCUCAGCUUGGGUAUUGGGCCUCGUCGGUUACACGACGGGCCUUAAAGUCAGUGGCGGCGCCGUUGGGUCCUGAACGUAGUAAUAUAUUUCGUUACAGGUGCCCCGCGUGCUUCUGCCAUUAAACCCCCAAUCUUUUAUGG
rnacentral:rRNA from 1 species